CAGAUCUUACGUGUCAAAACCCUGGCAUAUCGCAGACACUAGAAGCACUAAAUAGAACGGCGUUGUAAUGCAAGUGAGACACUCAAAUUAGGAUGUUCCUGACGUUCAAAUUCAGAACGAAAAUGAAGUGCCUGAUUUACCAGUAAUAGCUGAUAUAAAAGAGUGGAUCCAAAGUCCAUGGACACUCGAUAAUUAAGUUUUUUAUCUUUAAUUAAUAUAAUUAAUCGUUUAUUAUUUUCUAACUAGUCGUUUGUUUUUUCGGUUUUAUGAAAUGUUGGACUUUAUGUUGAUUUUAUUAGAUUAUUAUUUAAUAAAAAUAAGUAAAAAAUGAAAA